rnacentral:lncRNA from 1 species
AAGGGACAUUCUAGCACGUGGUGAGGAGCCAGGACCCCCUGCCAACAGCCAUCCUCCAGUUCUAGUCCAGUCUGCAGAUGACUACAGCCCUAGCCAACACUUUGACCGCAACUGCAUGAGAGACUGGGCCAGAACUACUCAACUAAAGCGCUCCCGAAUUCCUGACCCACAGAAACUGAGAGAUUGGAAACAUUUUGUUUUAAGCAACUAAGUUAUUUACUCAACUUGGUAACUACUUGGUGUUCCCAACUUUGCAGGACUAACCUU